rnacentral:rRNA from 2 species
CUGGAACGCGCCCCAGGCGCACCCAGAAACCCUUUGUGAACUUAUACCUUACUGUUGCCUCGGCGCAUGCCGGCCCCCCUGGGGGCCCCUCCUUCCGGAGGAGCAGGCACGCCGGCGGCCAACCUAACUCUUGUUUUUACACUGAAACUCUGAGAAUAAAACAUAAAUGAAUCAAAACUUUCAACAACGGAUCUCUUGGUUCUGGCAUCGAUGAAGAACGCAGCGAAAUGCGAUAAGUAAUGUGAAUUGCAGAAUUCAGUGAAUCAUCGAAUCUUUGAACGCACAUUGCGCCCUCUGGUAUUCCGGAGGGCAUGCCUGUUCGAGCGUCAUUUCAACCCUCAAGCCUGGCUUGGUGAUGGGGCACUGCCUGUAAAAAGGCAGGCCCUGAAAUUCAGUGGCGAGCUCGCCAGGACCCCGAGCGCAGUAGUUAAACCCUCGCUUUGGAAGGCCCUGGCGGUGCCCUGCCGUUAAACCCCCAACUUCUGAAAAU